rnacentral:ncRNA from 18 species
AGCGGACAUUUCGAGGUGAGAGUGAUUCUCACGCCAACCUGCCUUACCCGGGCAAGGUGGAAACGCUCAAGCGGAUGCGGCUUUCCGGCGCGGCCGGAAAACAACCAAGCGGGUCGAU